UGAUGCCGACGCCGUGUAGUAUAAUAUCGCUAAGUGACGUAACAAUAUCACAAAGUGACGUAACAAUAUCACAAAGUGACGCAAAAUCACAAAUGAAGCGGCAUAGACCACGGACAUUACCCAAAACGGCAGUGCCAAUGCAAUGAUGAUAUUUUCAAAAGUCAUUUGGAUUUUUCUUUCGGGAUGUUUGAUUCUAGUAUUCGCCCAGCCACCUUUACCUCCGGGCUUCAACCUGCCUCCAAUCAUGCAGGUGGAACGCAACUGGUACGCCAGGUCCACGGACCCCAUAGGGACGGUUGUCACCAAGGUGCAUCGGGAGAAGACCGAUGACAAGAACACCACCUUCGGCUUAGAAACCACUGGUCCACCUGCUCCUUUUGAAAUCGACCCACACACUGGAGUUGUGAAAACUAAUGAUACAUUGAUAGAUAAGGAAAACCAAUCAUUCUCCUUGUGGGUCACAGCGGACGGUUCUAUCCCUCAGAAAACUGAAGUUCUAGCAACUAUCACUGAUGAUUCAGGCCAAAGGCCCAAACUUCCGAUACCACCAUUCCAAUUACCGAAGCUACCACCUUAUGGCGGGUCAAUAGCAUAUCCACCUUAUCCACUGCCCACUAAAACCCCAAGACCACAGAGCACAACCAAAGCAACAGAAAAAUACUUAGAUGAAGUCAUAGUACCUGAAACUACUCCUGUUAUAACUACAUUAAACCCACCAAAGAGGCCAGAUGACCUUUUCAUAAAUAUAAUUGAUCAUGGAGAGAAAACCACAAAUAUUUCAGAACCUACUGAGGAGCAAACAGGAAAUGAUGUACCAAUAACAGUUAUACCUCUAGUGGCUAUUGCUGGCUUAGUGGUAAUUGUCGCGGCGGUAAUAUUUUUUGUGUGGAAGAGAAAUAAUACGGCAAAAUCAAGCAGCAAGAAAGAUGAUAUGAGCAAGGAUGCAAGUGGUAUUGUCCUCCAAGAUUCUUCGGUUAAUUUGUGGAACCGUCCUCGCACGUACUCCAAUCGAUACGAAUCCUGGGACAACGGCCAUUUGCAGCUGUCAGAAGAAACAACAAUAACGAAGGAAGAUCCAACAGAUGAGUGGGAAUUCCCGCGACAUAGAUUGAGGAUCUUCAACAUCGUCGGAGAAGGUGCUUUCGGUCAAGUGUGGCGCGCGCAGGCUAUUGACAUAGAUGGAAAAAAAGGCGAGCAAACAGUAGCAGUGAAGACAUUGAAAGAAAACGCGUCUGAGAAGGAAAAGUCGGACCUUCUUCAAGAAUUACUGGUGAUGAAGAAUCUGGGACCACACCCUAACGUAGUCCGCCUCAUUGCUUGCUGCACUGAAAAGGAGCCUACCUUCGUGAUCAUGGAGUUUGUCAGCCUGGGCAAACUGCAGCAGUUCCUACGGGACUCCAGGGCGGAGCGGCACUACGGGAACACCCACGGAGGGAGCCAGUUCUUGACGUCUCGGGAUUUGACCCACUUCGCGUUCCAGGUCGCAAGGGGCAUGGACUUCCUUAGUUCUAAAGGGAUCAUCCAUCGCGAUCUAGCGGCCAGAAACGUGUUGAUAACAGAGGAGAGGACGUGCAAAGUUGCAGAUUUUGGUUUUGCAAGAGAUGUCGGCGGUACCCACGUCUACGAGAGAAAGAGUGACGGUCGACUACCUAUAAGAUGGAUGGCGCCAGAGUCGCUUUACGACGAUAUAUUCAGCGUCAAAUCAGACAUCUGGAGUUUUGGCGUGCUGUUAUGGGAGAUUGUGACCUUAGGGUCCACCCCCUACCCUGGUCUGUCGGCUGGUGACGUCAUGAGGAAGGUGCGCGACGGUUACCGCUUAGAAAAACCCGAGCACUGUCGUCGCGAGUUAUACAACAUCAUGUACUACUGCUGGGAAGCGGAGCCUCCAGGAAGACCUGACUUCAAAGAGGUGGUGGCCAUGUUGGAGAAACUGUUGUGCACCGAGACAGACUAUAUAGAACUCGAGAGGUUUCCUGAUCACUCUUAUUAUAACUUACAAGAACUUGAUGGCGAGAAGGUUUGAAAGGUUAGUUACCCAUUUUGUUAUCUAUUAUACUUGUAAGAUACAUUGUGUUUUCAUGCGUUGGCCAAGUGGAUCCAUUUAUUUAAAACCUUAAAGAUUUUUAAUAUUGAUAUGUUAGUAACUAAGACAACCUCGGUGGCGCAGUGGUAAGGUUUUUGCCACUGAACCGAGAGGUCCCGGGUUCGAUCCCCGGUCGGGUCAUGAUGGAAAAUGAUCUUUUUCUGAUUGGCCCGGGUCUUGGAUGUUUAUUUAUAUAUGUAUUUAUUAUAAAAUAUAGUGUCGUUGAGUUAGUAUCCCAUAACACAAGUCUCGAACUUACUUUGGGACUAGCUCAAUCUGCGUGAUUUGUCCGAAUAUAUUUAUUUAUUUAUUAACUUAAGAAGACAGAAGGUCCCUUAAGUAGGGACUAAAUAAAUUAAUCGACUUGGUAUUAGAUGGACUACACAACUUUUGACUGUAGAUAAAACUGAGCUGCGAGACUUGGGUUUUUUACAGCAUGUUUUUGAUGGCUCUGUAUUUCUCUUGUUCUCGUCUAAUCGCUUCGCUGGUAUCUUCCCGAGUCGUAAAUCGUUGGUGCCCAGGGUCAUCAACACUGGACCAUUUUACAUCUGGACCCGAAAUAAAUCUAUCGGUACCAAGGCCGGUGGGACAAUAUUAGUGAAGCGACGAGUCGGCCGUCACACAACCAGAGACUAGGGUCCCCUGGGACGAGAUGUGAUAAGUGCUAAGUGCUUCACUUUACUGACUAAAGUUAUUAGUGUGUUAACGUUAACACCUACGAUUAUUAAACCAACCGGAGAGAACACAAGUGCAAAUUAUUAUGCAUAAAAGUUGUGUGAAGAUAGAUAAUGUUAAUUAUUAUAUUUAUGUUAACUCAUGUGUUAAAUACCUAUUUAUAAUUUAAGUUUCUCCAAUACAUCGUGCAAUAAAGGGUUUAUCUAUCUAUCUAUUACUAAUGCACAUGCUUAUUAAACAUAAUUCGACUGCUAGAUUAAAAACGACGCACUUAAUUGCAAGCGGUUUGACGGUUCUUUCGCAGACGGAAAGUAAGUGGCCUCUCCGGUUGGUUUAAUACUAAAAUGACUUUGGCGUCAUACUAAUGGAUGUGUUAAAAAGUGUUUUAGGGCGAAAAAACAUUCCUGAUUACUUUUUACUUUGUUUUAAACGAUCAAAGAUUUUAAAUAAGUUUUGUAAUGAAUUAUUCUACAUUCUUUCACCGAAUGUGAAAAUACUAAGAUUGUAUUCUAUUUGUAAUUUUGAUUAGAUUUAGUUACUAGUCGAUAGUGUGCUAAGUUAUACUUAAAAUAUAUGUUUUCCUCAGUUUUUAACACGAAUAUUGAACUACAUAGCCACAAAAUUGAUUUAGAUAUUAUUUUUGUUAUCAUUCUGAUAUUUAUGUUGUUUAAAUAGUUAUUUACAAAUAAAUUUAGAUAAUAUUGUUAAAAU